rnacentral:lncRNA from 1 species
UCCUCAGCAAAAUCCUUCUGUUUGAUCCAAAGUCAACAACCAACCGAUGAGUACGUAUUAUAAAUUAUAAUCCCAAUAAAAAAUAUAUAUAUAUUAUUGGUAUCUUACAUCUAUAGUGUGGUUUCCGACGAGACGGUCGAUGAUAUUACAUAGAAUGUCCUUGGAGUACUCAGGGUGACCUUGAAUACCCAAAACCCGAUCUUGAAUGGCGAACACCUCCACUCCCGUCUUCUCGGAAUAAGCUACAACUUCCCCUUCCUCCGGUACCUCCCAAACCUCGUCUUGGUGGAUCUCGAGGAUCGGGUGAUGUGUGCACAACAUCGACACUUUCGAUUCGCCUUUUAAACCGCAUGGAACUUCGUCAACCACCGUCACUUCUCUCACUCCGAUGUCCCAUCCCGUUUCUGCUUUGCCCACUUUCCCUCCCAAAGCGUGGCAUAAAACCUGAUUAAAAAAAAUAUAUUGUGAGAUAUUUAAAUCUCGUCCGUCAACAUUUUAGUCGAACCCACCUGAUGGCCAAAGCAUAUGCCUAGAAGUUUCUUCCGCAUGGAAUCAAGUUUCUGCAGUAAUUCGCAGAGCUCCAUCACCCAAGGCUCGUCUCCAUAGGCGUCGUUUGGACUUCCACUGAUUACGAACGCGUCGUACAUGCAGAUAUCGGCGGAGCAUGGGAACUCUCCGUCGAUCACACGAAACAAGUCCCAUCUCUCUCCUUGGUCUCCAUAUGCGUCGACGAAGACGUUGUAGUAUCCACCGUAGGUUGUCUUCACGUAGUCGGAAUCCCUUGCUGCCAUGAGAAGGGCGAAUCUCUUUUCUUGCUUUGUCGUCACCAUGUUUGUUAGGUAGCCUGAGCUUCUCAUGGAUGGAUGGCCGGGUUUUAUAAGGUUGGAUAGCAAGCAGAAUGGGGCCGCUAGUGUUUUUUUGCGUCAUGUGACCAAUGACGAUGUAGAUCAGUAGCGAUUGGCUUGAUAGGAUUCAAAUGAAUAAAAUAUACAUAAUUUUUAGUUAUUUCUCUAGAUAAUCUAUUCUUCCCGUGUAUUUUGUUCCGGUCGAGAUAUACCGACCCAACAAAAACCUAACCAAGGCCAGCUAGCACAUAAUCAAAUCUACUUUGACCAAAUAAUGGUGUUUUUUUUACUGAUUGUGUGUGGACUCGCGUUAGGAGUUUAUACACAUAACUCUCUAGUAUUACUCCUUCAUGCAUGUUUAGCUAGGAGAGGUAUUUAUUAAAAGAAUUAAAAGAGAAUCGGUAAUUAAAAGGUCAAGGGAGGGUUUAAGGGUUUUAAACAGAUCUGCAAUUGAUCUGUAAAUAAUCUGUUUUAACUCUCACAGGACUUAAUUGUAAUAAAUAACACUUAUAAAACUAUUUGCUAAUUUGUUAUCAAGUUUUACUUGUGCAGAUAAAAUGACCAAGACUCAGAGAAAGGAUUCAAUGAAGUCGAGGGUCAUGACUGCAAAAGUUUCAAUAUAUUCAAGUGGGCUAAUUAGACGAGUGGGCCGAGUCUGGAAUAUAAUUGGUCCAUUAAGACAAUAGAAUUGUAAUUAAAUCUGUUGUAAAAUUAGCUAUAAGUAAAAGUGAU